AAUCCAUAGGUUAAUGAGGCGAACCGGGGGAACUGAAACAUCUAAGUACCCCGAGGAAAAGAAAUCAACCGAGAUUCCCCCAGUAGCGGCGAGCGAACGGGGAGGAGCCCAGAGCCUGAAUCAGCAUGUGUGUUAGUGGAAGCGUCUGGAAAGGCGCGCGAUACAGGGUGACAGCCCCGUACACAAAAGCGCAUGUGCUGUGAGCUCGAUGAGUAGGGCGGGACACGUGGUAUCCUGUCUGAAUAUGGGGGGACCAUCCUCCAAGGCUAAAUACUCCUGACUGACCGAUAGUGAACCAGUACCGUGAGGGAAAGGCGAAAAGAACCCCGGCGAGGGGAGUGAAAAAGAACCUGAAACCGUGUACGUACAAGCAGUGGGAGCACAGGUUUACCUGUGUGACUGCGUACCUUUUGUAUAAUGGGUCAGCGACUUAUAUUCUGUAGCAAGGUUAACCGUAUAGGGGAGCCGGAGGGAAACCGAGUCUUAACCGGGCGUUAAGUUGCAGGGUAUAGACCCGAAACCCGGUGAUCUAGCCAUGGGCAGGUUGAAGGUUGGGUAACACUAACUGGAGGACCGAACCGACUAAUGUUGAAAAAUUAGCGGAUGACCUGUGGCUGGGGGUGAAAGGCCAAUCAAACCGGGAGAUAGCUGGUUCUCCCCGAAAGCUAUUUAGGUAGCGCCUCGUGAAUUCAUCUCCGGGGGUAGAGCACUGUUUCGGCUAGGGGGCCAUCCCGGCUUACCAACCCGAUGCAAACUGCGAAUACCGGAGAAUGUUAUCACGGGAGACACACGGCGGGUGCUAACGUCCGUCGUGAAGAGGGAAACAACCCAGACCGCCAGCUAAGGUCCCAAAGUCAUGGUUAAGUGGGAAACGAUGUGGGAAGGCCCAGACAGCCAGGAUGUUGGCUUAGAAGCAGCCAUCAUUUAAAGAAAGCGUAAUAGCUCACUGGUCGAGUCGGCCUGCGCGGAAGAUGUAACGGGGCUAAACCAUGCACCGAAGCUGCGGCAGCGACGCUGAUGCGUUGUUGGGUAGGGGAGCGUUCUGUAAGCCUGUGAAGGUGUGUCGUGAGGCAUGCUGGAGGUAUCAGAAGUGCGAAUGCUGACAUAAGUAACGAUAAAGCGGGUGAAAAGCCCGCUCGCCGGAAGACCAAGGGUUCCUGUCCAACGUUAAUCGGGGCAGG
rnacentral:rRNA from 1 species